AGGGGGGGGGAGGGUGGGGGCUGAGCAGGCACUUCAUUUGUUGCCACAUUUACUGUAUUCCCAAAAUUUCUUCCCUGAGCUGGCUGGGCAUCCCAUGUCAAAAAUCUCUUUCCUGUAGGUAUGGUAGUCUUAUCUACACAGGAGUGACUCUGUAUGCUGGCAGCCUUUCUGUCUGUCACUAAUAUCCAAGAGGUAUUUGUCACUUGACCCAGAUCUCUGUCCUUGUUUGCCUUCUGCACCGCCCCCCCCCCCGCCCCCCCUCACCCUGACACUCUCAGGCCUCAUUCACCUAGAUAUCUGGGAGAUAGUUCUUGCUGAGUAAGGAUGAGUUCUUACCCUAAGUGUCCUCUUUGUGAAGCCUCCAAUCUGGGAGAUACAAACCAUUAAAAAGUCUCUUGAGUACUGUGCUGGGAAUUAAUAUGGCAAUCAUGAGAUUGGGGUAAUAAAUCAGAACUUAAUGCCUGCUGAUGUUCAUUAUUAUGUUAUUAAAAUCCACACUUAGAAUAGUGUAUAUUAGUUAAAUGCUUUCUAUGGGCUAGACACAUUUUCUAGCACAUAAUGUGUAAUUAAUUCACACCACUACCUUCAGAGGUGGGUCACACCAUUAUCUCCCUCCUAUAGAUGAUGAUAUUGAUGUAAUUGCCAAAGGUUAUAUCACUGGUAAAGUACAAACAAAAGCAGACUGGAUGCACAGAUGUUGCUUUAAAGUACUUCAUUUCACAGAGAAAACCCAGAAAUAACCCAAAUGUCCAAUGGUUGUAACAUUAUAUUUCAUAGAAAUGUUGAAAAUAAUGUGGUCUAAUUAGAUGCCCACUUUUAUGUUAGGUUAAAGUAACAGACUACAGACCACAGGGACGCUUGGGUGGCUCAGUUGGUAAAGCAUCCGACUUUGGCUCAUGAUCUCGUGGUCUGUGGAUUCAUGCCCCGCAUUGGGCUCUGUGCUGACAGCUCAGAGCCUGGAGCGUGCUUUGGAUUCUGUGUCUCCCUCUCUCCCUGCCCCUCCCCUGCUCAUGCUCUCUCUCUCUCUCUCUCUCUCAAAUAAAUAUUAAAAAAAUUAAAGUAGCAGACCACAAAUUACUUAUAUGUACACUUUUGUUUUUAUUUUUGUUUAAAGUUUAUUAUUUAGAGAGAGAGUGAGAGCAGGGGGAGGGGCAGAGAAGGAUGGAGAGAGAGAAUCCCAAGCAGGUACCACGUUGUCAGACCAGAGCCUGAAGCAGGGCUCGAUGUCACGAACUGUGAAAUCAUGACCGAAGCUGAAAUCAAGAGUUGGAUGCUUAACCGACUGAGCCACCCCGAUGCUCCUGUAGGUACACUUUUAAAAGUCCUUUAUAAAAAUGACAAUAGCUCAACUUCUGGGGAAGAUGGUGGAGUAGGAGGAUUCUAAGCUCACCUCAUCCCAUGGAUGCAACAGCUAACACCCACAUCAGUGUAAAUAACCCAGAAAAUGACCCAAAUACUGGCAGAACAGGCUCUCCACAGCUAAGUGUAGAGAAGAGGCCACACUGAAGAGGGUAAGAGGGGUGGAGAUGUGGUUGGGAGCCAAACUGACCUGUGAGACUGUCUGCAGGAGGAAGAGACACUGUGGGCAGGCACAGAGAAGGGAGAGAAACUGACCCUCACAAUAGGCACCCUAGGCUUGGGGAACCCACACAGGAGAGUUGAAUUCCCAUAACAUUUGGCUUUGAAAACCAGAGGGUCCUAAUUUCGUGAGUUCUUACAAUCAGUUGGGCUUAACAUCUGGGACUUUAAAAAACAGUGGUUUUGGCUCUAGGAAAGGUGGAGGGUGAGAGGAAACUGAGUACUUGCCCUUAAAGAGAGAGCGCAACAAACAGUUCCACUGAGAUACAGCAUAGAAACAGCAGUUUGAAAAAUGCCUAGUUUAUUAGGGAGGGAGGUUUGCUUACCAAUCACAGAGAUAUGCUGGAGGGGCCGAGAUCUUUGGGAGACUUCAACAACAAAAGAACUGUCAAGCACCAUUUCCUUCCCCUGCCCCCCAGUCUAGAUACAUGGACACCUGAGGGAACCAGCAGAGCAUGAACCCUCUCCACCUAGCUUGUCAACAGUGUGCCCUAUCCCCUAUGCUCUUCUGUGGAUCCACCCCCUCUAUCUCAGCCUAGGCAGUUUUCUCGGAUAGCUGCAGGUCCCCUCCCGCAGCAGCACUGUGCGGACUUUGCUGGCACUGUGCACCCCACCUCCAUGCAGACCUGUCCCCUCCAGUCUGAUGGCAGGAAUUUUCAAAAGUGUCUCCAGAAGACAGGCAUAGACCUUGCUAACACUGUGCACCCCACCCCCAUGUUCUACUGUGGACCUGCCCUCAUCAGGAGUCCAUUCAAAGCAGUGCCACAAGCCUGGCAGUGUGCAAAUGGCCCCGACAGGAGCCACCACCACUCCAAAGUGACUUCUGAACUGGGGAGAGGGGAAGAUAACCACACAGACUAGUCAGAUUGCAGCUCCAGCAGUGGCCUGGGGGCAGACAUCUGACCUGACAGUAGGCAAUGUCCCCUUCUCAGGGAACAGGACAGAUAGCAUGCCCUGCAGUUUUGUGCUACUGCAGCUCUAGCAAGUGCCUGGUCUGACUCAAGUCUAGCCUAAGGUAGCUCCAGACUGGCUCACUAACAACAUAGAGACCAAACCCUGCCCACAACAGGCAAAGGGAGCCCUUGCAGAUGACCAGACUGAAGGAAAAAGUGGCUCAGCCACAACAGUAGGACACAUGCAACACAUAGAUACCCCUGAAGCACCAGGUUCUGGCGAACAGGGAUAAUUGCACUGCAGGGCCCCACAGGACCUCUUCUUCAUAAGGCCAAUACUUUUAAGAGCAGGGCACAUGCCUAACUUUCCUAACACAUAGAAACAGACACAGAGAGUUAGUAAAAAUGAGGAGACAGAGGAAUAUGUCUCAAAUAAAAGAACAGGACAAAAUCCCAGCAGAAGAGCUAGGUGAAAUGGAGAUAAGUAAUAUGCCCAAUAGAGAAAUUAAAGUAAUGCUCAUAAAGAUGGACGCCUGGGUGGCUCAGUUGGUUGAAUGUCCGACUUUGGCUCAGGUCAUGAUCUUGCAGUUCGUGGGUUUGAGCCCUGCAUCGGGCUCUGUGGUGAUAGCUCAGAGCCAGGAGCCUACUUCGGAUUCUGUGUCUCCCUCUCUCUCACUGCCCCUCCCCUGCUCACGCUGUCUCUCUCUCUCUCUCAAAAAUAAACAUUAAAAAAAAAAGUAAUGGCCAUAAAGAUACUGGACUGGAGAAGAGAGUAGAGGACCUCAAUGAAACCCUCAACAAAGAGAUAGAAAAAAAGAACCAAUCAGAGAUGAAGAGCUCAAUAACUGAAAUUAAAAAUAUACUAGAGGGAAUAAAUAGUAGACUAGAGGAAGCAGAAGAAUGGAUCAGCAACCUGGAGGGUAGAGUAGUGGAAAGUAAUCAAGCUGAACAGGAGAGAGAAAAAAGAAUAAUGAAGAAUGAAAAUGGAUUAAGGGAACUCAGUGACACCAUCAAGCAUCAUAACAUUCACAUUAUAGGGAUCCCAGAAGAAGAGAUAAAAGAGGGCAGAAAAUAUAUUUGAAGAAAUAAUAGCUGAAAACUUCCUGAAUCUGGGGAAGGAAACAGAAAUCCAGAUCCAAGACAUACAGAGGGCCUCCAACAAAAUCAACCCAAGGAGGUCCACAUCAAGACACAUAGUAUUAAAAUGGCAAAAAAUGAUAAAGAGAGAAUUCUAAAGGCAGCAAGAGAAAAGAAAACAGUUAUCUGCAAGGGAAAUCAAUAAGGCUAUCAGCUGAUUUUUCAGCAGAAACUUUGCAGGCCAGAAGGAAGUGGCAUGAUGUAUUCAAGAUGCUGAAGAAUCCCCGUCCCCCCCCCCCCCCCCCCACUACCCUGCAACCAAGAGUACUCUAUCCAGCAAGGUUAUCAGUUAAGUGUCUGACUUCUCCCCAUUCCCGAGUUCAAGGCUUAUGUUGGGCUCUGUGCUGACAGUUCAGAGCCUGGAGCCUGCUUCAGAUUCUGUGUCUUCCUUUCUCUCUGCCUCUCCUCUGCUCAUUCUCUCUCAAAUAUGAAUAAAUUUGAAAAUUAAAAAAAAUGUAAUCAAUAUGCCAAAGUGGCACAUUUGGGGUGACCUACCCUUGGCCCCUACACCAUCCUGUGACACUCCCACAUCCUAAAUAACUUUAUUUUAGAGGAUUAUGAUUUACUCUUUUGGAUGUAAAAAUGCUUGGGUUUUGACAAAUGCAUAGUGGCAGGUAUAAAUCACUCAAAUACCAUGGAAUACUUCCAACCCCUACCACUUGAUCCUUUUAUCAUCUCUAGUUUUGCCUUUUCCAGAAUCCCCUAUGAAUGGGAUCACAUAGUAUGUAGCCUUUUCAGACAGGAGUCCUUCACUUAGAAGGAUACAGGUAAGGUUCAUCCAUGUCUUUGUAUGGGGUGAUGGUUCAUUUACUUUUAUUGCUGAAUAGACUAACAGGAGAAAAACAAACAGAAGUUAACUUGCAUAUGUCCUGUAUAUGGCAGAUACCCAGGAAAACGGAGUAACUCCCCGAUGUGGCCCAGUCCUCACCCUAAAUGCUCUCUUCAGCUAAAGACCAAAAGAUUUUGGGUGGUGGGAAGGCAAGUUUAGUGUUGUUGUCAGGCAAGCAUAGUAAAUGAGGGUAUGGUUGUUAUGAGGAUUUAAGUGUGUGUCCUCUCUUUUGGUAAGAGUUUCUUGAGAUUUAGUCGUUCUUCUGUUCUAAAAGGGCGACACCCUUAUUGUAGCAGGAUUCUCACAGGGAGUCAUGACACCGAGGCUUUUCUUUCCAGGAAGCACUUUAUUCCUGCUGGCACCAUUCAGUUGGGUUUGUACCAGAAGAACUGAGCCCCGAACACCAUGUGGCCCCCCUGUACACCACCCACCUGCAUGCAUCCACCCCCAUGCAUACAUCCACCUGGCCCCCUGCAUGUACCCACCUGCACCCUGCAUGCACCCACCUGCCCCUCUACACACACCCACCUGCCCCCUGCCCCACUGCACGCACUCAUCUGCCUUCACUCCCCCUGCGUGCACCCACCUGCCCUCUUACAUGCACCCAACCACUUUCACCUCCCUGUGUACACCCGCAUGGUCCCCACAUGCACCCACCUACCUCUCUCAUGCACAGCCCUACCUCACUGCCCCUCUCUCCACACCCACAUGUCCCUGCAUGCACCUCUGCCUCCCUGAACCCACCCACCUGUUGCCCCACAUGCUCCCUCCCACUCCCUGCAUGCACCCACCUGCCCCUGCCUCCUUGAACACAUCCACUGGCCCCCCUGCACGUACUCACUUUUCCCCUUCACGCACACACCUGCCCCCCUGCGCGCACCCAUCCAUCUUCAGUUCCCCUGCAUGCAGCCGGGGGCCUCUAUCUUACAUUUUCCUAACAUAAGCCAGGAUGUAUUUUCAGCUCCUGGGAUAUAGUCUCUGAGAUGUUGGUCUCUUGUCUUCCUGGUGUCAUCACUGAAAUGAAUUACUUUCUUGUGUCAUUUCCACUCACAUCUCUGCCUUUGGAUUCUGUCGGCAUCAAGUGCCCCCACCCGGUCUGUUGGUGACCCUGGAUUGGAGAUCUUGCACCCCUUGCCCCUGUCACAGGACACUGCAAAUUGCAAGGAAGAGAUGAGGCCGAGCCCUCCUGGGGAGACCCGGUGCACUGGCAGGGAAGGACCCCGGGGCACCACCUCCCAGGAAGGAAGAAUGGGUGUGUAGGCCUACAGCAGGUGCAGCUGAGCCACUGACACCCUGAGAGGCUGCACGACAAGACUGGAUCCAGGGAAGCUCUAAUCCAACUUGGAACAUGAAGAGGAGAGUUUCCCUCAGGAUCUUUCUGGAUUCAGAUCCUACACUGCUGGAGGUUUACCUCAGAAGAAAGCCCAAGAAUGUAACUUCUGAUUUGUUGUCCUGUAAUGCCCUCCCUGGAGGGAAGGUCUGCAUGAGUGACAAGAUGGUUCUUCCACGCGGCUGUGGGCGGCUGUGGGACCUCCAAACAGGUGCUGCUCUGCCCUCAGCGGUGUCCCUGCUCUGCUCCUGUCCUCCCUUUUCCUGGUGUCUGUGAAACAAGCAGAGAAAUGGAAGAGCCGGUGAAACUUGGAAGAAGCCGUGUCCCUUUACAUUCUUGGGACCGUCAGACCUGAUGCUCACAGGAUUGCUACUGUGAGUGUGGACAGAGGAAACACCUAUGGACACUAAAAGGCUGUUGGCAUGAAUCAUUACAAACGGUCACAGAAUCUGCAGUUUCAGGGCCUGGAUCAGGUUAGGGUUAGCCCUCCUGAGACACACCAACAUGUCUAAUGGCCCCUCUGCCCAUAAAGGUUCACGGUGGCUGGGAAGUCAUCGCUUCCACCCGAUGGAUGGUGACAGUACCUCUUGAACCCACCUGCUCAGAGCAGCACAGGUGGCAGGGACCCGUUUCCAGCCUGGCCUCCCUAUCCCACACAGCACCUGCUCUCCAGCAUCUUCCCUGUUUCUGAGCCUCUCAUCUCUUUCUGUCUGCCUUCCAUCCCCUGUCCCUAACUUCCUGCCAAGUAUUCCUAUAAGCCAGCAGUUCAGCUCGGGGGUGGGGGUGGGGGAAGUGGGUGGCCAGGAGAGCCUCACCACACUCAAUGAAUUUCAGGACAUUCUGGCUAUUUCCUCCCAGGCCAAAAGACUGCCCAGCUCCCUGGAAGCAUCCUGGCUCUUUACUGACAAUGAGGCAAUGAGGGCACUGUUGAAAUCAUCAUUAUUUUAAAAUAACAAGUAUUGAUGAGGAUGUGAAGAAGAAGGAACCCUCCUGGUGGGAAUGCAAACUGGUGUAGUCACUGUGGAGAACAGCAUGAAGAGUCCUCAAAAAGUUAAAAAUAGAACCAUCUGAUGGUCCAUAAAUCCCCUCCUGGGGAUUUACCCGAAGGAAAGGAAAUCACUGUCUGGAAGAGAUCUCUUCACCCCCACAUUCAUGGCAGCAUUGUUCACAAUGGCCCAUCAUGGAAACAGGUUAAGUGUCCAUCCAGUGAGUGAUGCAUGUAUGAAUGAAUAUUGCUCAGCUGUAAAAAGAGAACAGGCAGAUCUGGAGGACGUUAUGCUGAGUGAAAUAAGCCAGACACACAAGGAAAAGGCUGCGUGGUCUCACUUACGCGUGGAAUCUGAAGAACAGGCAGAAGUUGAGUCUUACAUGUGUGGAGCCCCAGGCACCCCACUCAGGCCUGCCGGGGCCCAGGGAAAUCAGCAGGGACCCACUUACCAAGCACAGAAUCGUGCAAAACAAUACAUGCUGUAGCUUCCAUCUGGGCAUUUCUGUGUUUUGGAUGCAGUGGUAGGUGACCCCAGCAAAGUCUAGUUCUGUGGUUCAACCUCAGCUGCCCUUGGCAGCAUACAUCCCUGUGGCUCUCUCACCAGCCUUGCCCUCCCCAGAGAAGCUUCUAGAUGUUGGGAGGGUGUCCUGAGGAUGGAGGGCCAGGCAAUGGAUCUGCUCCCUUUGCUCCAACAGGACCCUGGACCCCCAACAGCCCGAGAUGAUUCUCUUUGCAGUGGCCCCAGCAGCCCUCUGAGAUGCAACGCAACAUCCCUGGUCAGCAGGGGCAGCCACCAUACUCCUCAGUGAUCCAGCCCAGGGCCCAUCAGUGCUUGUGGCCAAGACUUGGGCUGCAGAGGCUGGAAUGUGGCGUCUGAACAACCUGCUGUGCACAGAGAAGGAAGAACAUGAAAAUGUGAGCAAUGAAGCCAACAAUAACCCAUCAUUUAAAUCCUGCUUCUCACACUUUGUCUUGGAAACAAAAUGAUCCAAGGAAUUCAUGCCCAGUCUCCACCCAACAGAACCCUGCUGAGGCAUCGAUGGCCUUGCAGAUCCUCUCCAGCAGGGCCUUCCAGGCUGGUGUGGUUCCUCCACCAGAAAUGUGAAAUCUUCUGUCACCAUAUACAUUUGGGAAAUGCCGGGAGCAUCUCCUCGGAAUUCAGCCCCAAAACAGAUGGGCAUGCACACUGGGCAGGACCCAGCAGCGGAAGCUGAGUGCCAAUGUGAGUGUAAGUGGUUGGGCCACCUGGCAAGCAUCUGGCAGCUUCCCCUGGAGGGAAGCACUCACCUGGCCUAUCAACCGGGACAAAUGAAAAUACAUGCUCCCACCCCUGCUAAAGCCACCUGCCCCUGUUUGGACAAUCACCUGUCUGGACAAGGAGGCCAACAUGUCCUGCAUGUUGGUGGCGGGGGGGAACUCAAGCCCCAGGGUGUCAAGGGCACAGUGCUGGCUGCCAUCCACCUCUGCCCACUGGGAAUGCUCCGGGGAGGGGCCUCUAACCAGACUUGAUGGACAGAACAUAUAGACUGCACACUUUUGUGUGGACUCUUGACACUCAGAACCAUGUCUCAGAGAUUCAUCUGUUUCCUGGCGUGGACCCUUCAUUUUCUGUGGCUGAGUGGUGUUCUACCAUGUGAACACUCCGGGAUUCCUUUGUCCGCUUGGAUGGUUCUUAAUUUGAGGUUACAAUAAAGCUGCUAUGAGCAUUC